AGUGAACGCUGGCGGUAGGCCUAACACAUGCAAGUCGAACGGCAGCACAGUAAGAGCUUGCUCUUACGGGUGGCGAGUGGCGGACGGGUGAGGAAUACAUCGGAACCUACUUUUUCGUGGGGGAUAACGUAGGGAAACUUACGCUAAUACCGCAUACGACCUACGGGUGAAAGCAGGGGAUCUUCGGACCUUGCGCGAUUGAAUGAGCCGAUGUCGGAUUAGCUAGUUGGCGGGGUAAAGGCCCACCAAGGCGACGAUCCGUAGCUGGUCUGAGAGGAUGAUCAGCCACACUGGAACUGAGACACGGUCCAGACUCCUACGGGAGGCAGCAGUGGGGAAUAUUGCACAAUGGGCGGAAGCCUGAUGCAGCAACGCCGCGUGCGGGAUGACGGCCUUCGGGUUGUAAACCGCUUUCGCCUGUGACGAAGCGUGAGUGACGGUAAUGGGUAAAGAAGCACCGGCUAACUACGUG
rnacentral:rRNA from 1 species